CUUAACUCCUGCCAAAAUGGCAUAAUAUGUGUAUAGAAUCAUUAUUUAUUUAUGUAAAAUUGAUUAAACAAUACACAUGUAUUUAGUUUUAGACAUUAUUUAUUUGGUAUUGGCAACUAUUAUAGUGUACUAGAUUUAAAUUUUAAAAUACAUAUAAUAUUUAUUGCACAGCUAGGCAAGCUAGAAGAUAAUCAAAAGUGUAUAUGCAAUAUUUCAAGUGUUGCACAUUUUGCACAACAUGAUCUUGUCAUUUGAAAACCAUAAAGUUUGUAAUAAGUUUUGGCAUGCAAUAAAAGAAUUGAUUUUGUUGAAUAUUGCACCUCAUGGAAUAUUUACUGCACUCUCAGGGUCAUGCAAUUUUAUAGUGCUCUACAAAAUGCAUGUUAUAUCCUGAAGCUGGAGAUCAUGGUUACAUAACCAGGUUACCAAGCAAUAUUCUUUGAUAUUGCACUUGUGUGAUAAUGAUUGAAAAUAGUAUAUUGUAUGUAUUUUUGCAAAACUUUUUGCCCUUCAAUGAACGAUAUUUGCAUAAAUAUUUUGAAAAUUUUUGAAAAUUUCACUAGUAUGCUUGAGUUACAUAGCUGUGAAUAAGGCACAACAUUAUUCACCAAAUAUUUGUGGGAAAUUCCAUAUAUAUUAAAAUAUUAUCAGAAAUGACUAACACUAGUAUAUAAGGGUUCUAGAGGUGUAUUAAUAAAUGCUACUGGAGAAUGGAUCUGUUUGAUAAUUUGCAUAGAAAUACUUGACAUUUAAUCUGCUGUCCCAAAUACUAAGUGAACAUGUAAAUUUGUUAAAUAAUUUUAAAUAAUUUUAGAUUUGUAAAUAAACUUUGCCAUACA
rnacentral:lncRNA from 1 species